rfam:Mus musculus chromosome 4, GRC primary reference assembly.
UGCGCUGUGAACAAACGCGGCCUGGCGGGUCGCAGCGCCGCGCGGCGACCGCGAGGCGACCGGGAGCCGCUGGGACCCAGGCUGCGCGCCCCUCGGCCUGCCCGGGAGCCGCGCCAGUCGGAGUCCCGGGCCGAGCGGGGCUUGCCUCCCUCUCAGCGUUCCUCUGUGCGCAGUGCAGCCAGCGGGCAUGACCGAUCCACCAGGGGCGCCGCCGCCGGCGCCUGCAAGCCGCGGGUGAAGAAGAAAGUCCGGCCCCGCUCUUCUCAGAGCGAGAAGGUAGGGAGCAGCAGCAGGGAGUUGACUAGAAGUAAGAAAGUGACCCGUAGCAAGAACGUGACCGGGACCCAGGUAGAGGAGGUGACCAAGAUCGAGGAGGCG